UUAGAUCGUACCCACACUUACUUGGAUAACUGUGGUAAUUCUAGAGCUAAUACAUGCAAACAGAGCUCCGACCGGAGACGGAAGGAGCGCUUUUAUUAGAUCAAAACCGAUCGGUGGUGGGUUCGCCCAUCAUCGUACAAUUUGGUGAAUCUGAAUAACUUUAAGCUGAUCGCACGGUCUUGCACCGGCGACGCAUCUUUCAAAUGUCUGCCUUAUCAACUGUCGAUGGUAGGUUCUGCGCCUACCAUGGUUGUAACGGGUAACGGGGAAUCAGGGUUCGAUUCCGGAGAGGGAGCCUGAGAAACGGCUACCACAUCCAAGGAAGGCAGCAGGCGCGCAAAUUACCCACUCCCGGCACGGGGAGGUAGUGACGAAAAAUAACGAUACGGGACUCAUCCGAGGCCCCGUAAUCGGAAUGAGUACACUCUAAACCCUUUAACGAGGAUCAAUUGGAGGGCAAGUCUGGUGCCAGCAGCCGCGGUAAUUCCAGCUCCAAUAGCGUAUAUUAAAGUUGUUGCGGUUAAAAAGCUCGUAGUCGAAUCUGUGUCUCGCGCCGCCGGUUCAUCGUUCGCGGUGUUAACUGGCGUGCCGCGGGACGUCCUGCCGGUGGGCUUAGCUCGAGAGGGCGGCCCAAAUCAAUCCUGCCGCGGUGCUCUUCAUUGAGUGUCGAGGUGGGCCGGCACGUUUACUUUGAACAAAUUAGAGUGCUUAAAGCAGGCUAAAAUUUCGCCUGAAUACUGUGUGCAUGGAAUAAUGGAAUAGGACCUCGGUUCUAUUUUGUUGGUUUUCGGAACCCCGAGGUAAUGAUUAAUAGGAACGGAUGGGGGCAUUC
rnacentral:rRNA from 1 species